rnacentral:rRNA from 1 species
ACAGGGAGGUAGUGACAAGAAAUAACAAUACAGGACUUUUUGGUUUUGUAAUUGGAAUGAGUUAAGUAUAAACCCCUUUACAAGUAUCAAUUGGAGGGCAAGUCUGGUGCCAGCAGCCGCGGUAAUUCCAGCUCCAAUAGCGUAUAUUAAAGUUGUUGCAGUUAAAAAGCUCGUAGUUGGAUUUCUGUUAAUAAUUUAUAUAAAAUAUUUUGAUGAAUAUUUAUAUAAUAUUAACAUAAUUCAUAUUACUAUAUAUUUUAGUAUAUGAAAUUUUACUUUGAGAAAAUUAGAGUGCUUAAAGCAGGCAUAUGCCUUGAAUACUCCAGCAUGGAAUAAUAUUAAAGAUUUUUAUCUUUCUUAUUGGUUCUAAGAUAAGAAUAAUGAUUAAUAGGGACAGUUGGGGGCAUUUGUAUUUAACAGUCAGAGGUGAAAUUCUUAGAUUUGUUAAAGACAAACUAAUGCGAAAGCAUUUGCCAAGGAUGUUUUCAUUAAUCAAGAACGAAAGUUAGGGGAUCGAAGACGAUCAGAUACCGUCGUAGUCUUAACCAUAAACUAUGCCAACUAGAGAUUGGAGGUUGUUCCUUACUCCUU